rnacentral:misc_RNA from 1 species
GUCAAUGUUUUCGGUGUACAGCAGCACGCUCAUCUUCUCGGUAAGGCAAUUAAAACAAGAGUCAUCCAUAAGGGAGUGGAACAAAAACCCCUAGCAGACGAUAAAUACUACGAUUUCAACUAUCAGGACUUUCGCCGAGCAAACAGAACUUUGAGGGCCGGAGACAGUUUGAUAUUAGAGUGUACAUAUGAUUCAACAGGCCGAACUAAUGUCACAUACGGCGGAUAUUCUACUCAGGAGGAGAUGUGUAUUGUGUUUAUUUUCCACUACCCCCGGACGCGGCUGUAUAACUGUCAGAGUAAGCCCCUGUAUAAAAGGUUUCACACAGGGCCCGUGGUCGGAUGGUGGAGCUAUCUGGCCCCCUGACCAGCACGUUUGACGCCAUGGACUGGACAAACGCCAGCGUGAUCCGGGAGUUUAAAGACAGCCUGGAGAACGACCAGUAUUUCUACGUCUACGGCCAUGACAAUAACCAGUAUAACUAUACGAUGAUGGAUCCUAAGUCUGUGUACCCAAAUGUUCCGUACACUGAGCCCCCCAACACUCAAUGCGGAGUCUGAAUUCAACAGAAAGUCUGAGAGAUAUAGAGAGAGAAAAGUACAUAGAGCUAUCACGGCUUAUUCAUUUUCCCGAUUUUUUACAGAUGCAUAGGUUUGAAUCAUAUCGAUGUAGAUUUAAUAUUGAAUUGAAAUAAUGAUGGAAUAAAUAAUGUUUG